AGUGAACGCUGGCGGUAGGCCUAACACAUGCAAGUCGAACGGCAGCACAGUAAGAGCUUGCUCUUACGGGUGGCGGGUGGCGGACGGGUGAGGAAUACAUCGGAAUCUACUUUUUCGUGGGGGAUAACGUAGGGAAACUUACGCUAAUACCGCAUACGACCUACGGGUGAAAGCAGGGGAUCUUCGGACCUUGCGCGAUUGAAUGAGCCGAUGUCGGAUUAGCUAGUUGGCGGGGUAAAGGCCCACCAAGGCGACGAUCCGUGGCUGGUCUGAGAGGAUGAUCAGCCACACUGGAACUGAGACACGGUCCAGACUCCUACGGGAGGCAGCAGUGGGGAAUAUUGGACAAUGGGCGCAAGCCUGAUCCAGCCAUACCGCGUGGGUGAAGAAGGCCUUCGGGUUGUAAAGCCCUUUUGUUGGGAAAGAAAAGCAGCAGGUUAAUACCCCGCUGUUCUGACGGUACCCAAAGAAUAAGCACCGGCUAACUUCGUG
rnacentral:rRNA from 1 species